rnacentral:rRNA from 1 species
GAUUGAACGCUGGCGGCAGGCCUAACACAUGCAAGUCGAACGGUAACAGGAAGAAGCUUGCUUCUUUGCUGACGAGUGGCGGACGGGUGAGUAAUGUCUGGGAAACUGCCUGAUGGAGGGGGAUAACUACUGGAAACGGUAGCUAAUACCGCAUAACGUCGCAAGACCAAAGAGGGGGACCUUCGGGCCUCUUGCCAUCGGAUGUGCCCAGAUGGGAUUAGCUAGUAGGUGGGGUAACGGCUCACCUAGGCGACGAUCCCUAGCUGGUCUGAGAGGAUGACCAGCCACACUGGAACUGAGACACGGUCCAGACUCCUACGGGAGGCAGCAGUGGGGAAUAUUGCACAAUGGGCGCAGGCCUGAUGCAGCCAUGCCGCGUGUAUGAAGAAGGCCUUCGGGUUGUAAAGUACUUUCAGCGGGGAGGAAGGGAGUAAAGUUAAUACCUUUGCUCAUUGACGUUACCCGCAGAAGAAGCACCGGCUA